GGGGAAUCUUCCGCAAUGGGCGAAAGCCUGACGGAGCAAUGCCGCGUGGAGGAUGACAGCCUGUGGGUCGUAAACUCCUUUUCUCAGAGAAGAAGAUCUGACGGUAUCUGAGGAAUAAGCAUCGGCUAACUCCGUGCCAGCAGCCGCGGUAAGACGGAGGAUGCAAGCGUUAUCCGGAAUGAUUGGGCGUAAAGCGUCUGUAGGUGGUUUAUCAAGUCUACUGUUAAAUAUCAGGGCUUAACCCUGAAUCGGCAGUAGAAACUCAUAAGCUUGAGUACGGUAGGGGCAGAGGGAAUUCCCGGUGUAGCGGUGAAAUGCGUAGAGAUCGGGAAGAACACCGAUGGCGAAAGCACUCUGCUGGGCCGAAACUGACACUGAGAGACGAAAGCUAGGGGAGCAAAAGGGAUUAGAUACCCCUGUAGUC
rnacentral:rRNA from 1 species